AUGAAGGCCCUGACUGGGCAGUUAUUUCCCAUUCUCCAAAGGCUGUCUUUUUGUUGUGAUCGCUAUCGAUACUGUGUCGCCUUUAAGGCUUUGUACCAUAAUGCUCCUUUUGCCCAGUAUCUGGAUCUGGGCUGGGUAGUAAUGGGAGAGGUAUGCCUGGGUAACGUACAUAAGCCGACAGUCAACACGUUCAAGACCAACGUGCUGGCCAGUGGACGCCAUUCAAUUUUUCAACCCUGUACAAGUUUCAUGCAUAUCAAGGAGAUGCAGCAAAGCUUCGACAGGCCCGACAAAGCACCUGAGAGGAUGCUGGGACAAACAGUGUUCAACCGAACCGAGCACGACAACAAACCUGCUCCAUCAGUGGAAGAUGGCAUCUUCCUAAAGAUAAUGGACAAAAACGUCUACAGAGGUGUCGAUAAGAGUUGGGUCGCCCCACUGCCGUUCAAGGAACCACAGCAAACUUUGCCAAAUAACAAACAGCAGGCAGUCAACCGAUUUGCAUCUCUGCAACGAACCCUUAAAAGGAAACCUAAGAUGCAGGAACAGUUUGUGGCAUUCAUGGAAAAGAUCUUCGCUAACAGACAUGCCGAGGUUGCGCCACCACUGAGAAAAAAUGAGGAACGCUGGUAUCUUCCAACGUUCGGGGUCUACCACCCACAAAAACCUAAUCAAAUCAGAGUGGUCUUUGAUUCCAGUGCCCAGUUCUCUGGUGUCUCCCUCAACGAUGUGCUCCUCACAGGCCCAGAUCUCAAUAACUCCCUUCUCGGUGUCCUGCUACGCUUCCGGGAAGAAAAGGUUGCAAUUCUGGCAGACAUCCAGCAAAUGUUCCAUUGUUUUUUGGUGUGUGAAGAUCACCGCAACUUCCUUUUCCGUUUUUUAUGGCACAAGGACAAUGACAUCGGCAAGGAAGUUAUUGAGUACCGGAUGAAGGUUCACGUUUUUGGCAACAAGCCAUCACCUGCGGUGGCCAUAUACGGGCUGCGAAGAGCCAUCAGAGAAGGUGCACAGAAGCAUGGUGUGGAUACCGUCAAGUUUGUGGAAAGGCACUUCUAUGUCGACGAUGGUUUGGUAUCCUUACCAUCCGAAGCUGAGGCAAUUGACCUGCUCCAAUGA
rnacentral:lncRNA from 15 species